CCUACGGGAUGCAGCAGUGAGGAAUAUUGGUCAAUGGGCGAAAGCCUGACGCAGCGACGCCGCGUGAGGGAUGAAGGUCUUCGGAUCGUAAACCUCUGUCAGCAGGGAAGAACGGUCACUGUGCUAAUCAGCAGUGAAUUGACGGUACCUGCAAAGGAAGCACCGGCUAACUCCGUGCCAGCAGCCGCGGUAAUACGGAGGGUGCGAGCGUUAAUCGGAAUUACUGGGCGUAAAGCGCUCGUAGGCGGUAUGUCAAGUCAAGGGUGAAAUCCCCGCGCUCAACGUGGGAACUGCCUUUGAAACUGGCAAACUGGAGUGUGUGAGAGGAUAGUGGAAUUCCAGGUGUAGGAGUGAAAUCCGUAGAUAUCUGGAGGAACAUCAGUGGCGAAGGCGACUAGCUGGAACAUAACUGACGCUGAGGAGCGAAAGCGUGGGUAGCAAACAGGAUUAGAUACCCGAGUAGUC
rnacentral:rRNA from 1 species